rnacentral:rRNA from 1 species
UACGGGGGGAGCAAGCGUUGUUCGGAUUUACUGGGCGUAAAGGGCGCGUAGGCGGCCUGUGCAAGUCAGUUGUGAAAUCUCCGAGCUUAACUCGGAACGGUCAACUGAUACUGCUCGACUAGAGUGCGGAAGGGGCAACUGGAAUUCUUGGUGUAGCGGUGAAAUGCGUAGAUAUCAAGAGGAACACCUGCGGCGAAGGCGGGUUGCUGGGCCGACACUGACGCUGAUGCGCGAAAGCUAGGGGAGCGAACGGG